rnacentral:rRNA from 1 species
UACAGAGGUCUCAAGCGUUGUUCGGAUUCAUUGGGCGUAAAGGGCGUGUAGGCGGUCUGUUAAGUCUGGCGUGAAAGCUCUCGGCUAAACCGGGAGAGGUCGUUGGAUACUGGCAGACUAGAGGACGGUAGAGGCGUGUGGAAUUCCGGGUGUAGUGGUGAAAUGCGUAGAGAUCCGGAGGAACACCAGUGGCGAAGGCGACACGCUGGGCCGUACCUGACGCUAAAGCGCGACAGCAUGGGGAGCAAACGGG